rnacentral:lncRNA from 1 species
GUGGUGGAGAUGGUGCAACAUUUUCUGAGGUAGGGUUUGCUGGAUUUGGAUAGUAGGGUGGAGGUGGAUACAUUGGGUACUGUGAGUAAGGUGGGUAGUAAGGUGGGUAUGGCAUCUGUGUGGGAUAAGGGGUGAAGCUAGGGUAAUCCGAUGUACCUCCCAUCGAAUACCCGGGAUGUUGUGAGAAGUGUGGGUAGUGGGGUGGCUGAACAAAUCCCGAGGCCUGAGUGCCUCC